rnacentral:rRNA from 1 species
GAUCAACGCUGGCGGCGUGCCUAAUGCAUGCAAGUCGAGCGCGGGCCCCUUCGGGGGUGCUGCGCGGCGGACGGGUGCGUAACACGUGGGCAACCUGCCCUGGGGUGGGGGAUAGCCGUG